rnacentral:rRNA from 1 species
ACUCAAAGGAAUAGACGGGGGCCCGCACAAGCAGUGGAGCAUGUGGUUUAAUUCGAUGCUACGCGAAAAACCUUACCAGGGUUUGACAUCCCGGUGUAAUCCUUUAGAAAUAUUGGACCCCUUCGGGCAUCGGUGACAGGUGGUGCAUGGUUGUCGUCAGCUCGUGCCGUGAGGUGUUGGAUUAAGUUCCGCAACGAGCGCAACCCUCGUUGCUAGUUGCCAUCAUUAAGUUGGGCACUCUAGCGAGACUGCCAGCGUCAAGCUGGAGGAAGGUGGGGAUGACGUCAAAUCAUCAUGCCCCUUACACUCUGGGCUACACACGUGCUACAAUGGCCGGUACAACGGGUUGCCACACCGCGAGGUGGAGCGAAUCCUCAAAGCCGGUCUCAGUUCGGAUUGCAGGCUGCAACUCGCCUGCAUGAAGCUGGAAUUGCUAGUAACCGUGGAUCAGCAUGCCGCGGUGAAUACGUACUCGGGCCUUGUACACACCGCCCGU